rfam:Acinetobacter johnsonii SH046 genomic scaffold supercont1.2, whole genome shotgun sequence.
CAUCGCUUCAGGGCGGGGUGUAAUUCCCCACCGGUGGUAAGUUCAGUUGAAUGACUCAAACUGAAUCAGCCCACGAGCCAGCCAAGUAGAAAUCCUCUAUUUGGUUCGCAGAUUUGGUUCAAUUCCAAAGCCGACGGUAUAGUCCGGAUGAAAGAAGACGACG